rnacentral:lncRNA from 1 species
GAGAGGGAAGUGUUAACUCUCAGGGGAGCCAUAAGCCCUGCCCAAGAGUAAAGAGGACGCCUCCCCUCCUCCUCCAGGUUCCUCCUUCCGAUACUCCCCCCCCCCCCCCCCCCAGCCCAGUUUCCAGAACACCGGCACUGUCUCACGCAAGGCUCACCAUGCAGAGUGGAUGGAUACAGAGCGCUUCCUUCCGUCUUAUAGAUUGUGCACCUGUUUAGCGUGGCCCCAAGACUAGGGCUGUGCAUGUCACACACACGAAGACACUGGUGGACUGGGCUUUCUGAGCAGGUCUCGAUUCUGCCAGUCAACAGUCUGAAAGUUCAGGAUCUCCUGAUCAGAAGCAGGACGUCCAUAUGCAGGCUGCACUGGAGGCCGCUCUUUUGAAAAGUUGAAACAAAGCACAAAGGAAGUGGUCCCCAGUCGGACCAGGUCUGGUGGUGGUACAUCUAACUAGGAGGAGAGAACAGAGAAGGAAGCCUGCUGCUCUGAGGGAGGACCAGAAGAGUAGGCACUAUGAGUCCUUGGCCCUUGAGUGCAGGCUGAAAUCAUCAUUGAACGGAAACAACAAACAGUAAAGAGAUGCUUGCUAGCUGCCACGCCGCAGAGAGAGACGUAGAAGAUGCCCACCCAAGCAGGAAUCUCUGGAAGCCUUCGGGUGGAUCAGGCACAGACAGUGUUCACUCACUUCUAAUGAGCUUCAUGAUACCCAGGCAGAGUCUUCAACGCAUGUUGAUCACCAGCUAUGAGUCAAAUCAAUGGCAAAGACUCCCUCAGAGCCUUGCUCUAAUGACACAAUCCUUAGCGUCUAGAUGAAUCCUCCAUCUCCUCUAGGCUUCUCCUACUCAGGCUCCCUAGUUUGCAGAAAGAUGUGGGACCUAAGGGCGGCAGGAGGGACCUUUCUUUACACCGUUACUGAUACAGGAUAAAUAACCCUCGGUUCCUUAAAC